GGAAGAAGGUGAAUUCGAGAAUUGCGAAGCUGAGUGCAGACGUCCGAUCCCCGAUCCAUGGCUCCUUUUCUGGCACUUGAGAGAUGUGUGUGUGGUAGACGGUGGCUGUGCGUGGUGGAGAAGCAGGGCACGUGCAUUACCAUCCAAUGCCGCCGGGUGGGUGGGUGGAAUGGAUGGAUGGUUCU
rnacentral:precursor_RNA from 1 species